UACAGAGGGUGCGAGCGUUGUCCGGAAUCACUGGGCGUAAAGGGCGCGUAGGCGGCUCAGUAAGGUUGCGGUGAAAGCCCGGGGCUCAACCCCGGGUCGGCCGUGGCAACUGCUGGGCUGGAGCACUGUAGAGGCAGGUGGAAUUCCGGGUGUAGCGGUGGAAUGCGUAGAGAUCCGGAAGAACACCGGUGGCGAAGGCGGCCUGCUGGGCAGUAGCUGACGCUGAUGCGCGACAGCGUGGGGAGCAACAGG
rnacentral:rRNA from 1 species